CCCCCCCCGACACACUCCUCCUCCCCUGCAAUCAAGUGCGAGCAGAGGGGGGCCGCAGACCUCCGGCUGUCAGGCUUGAAAGAAGUGCUUGUCUUGGGGGGGAGGGUCGACUGGUAGGAUGCGAGGGGAUGUGAAGGGCGCUUCUCUUCAUUUCAUCCUCGGCGCGGCGUGUCCGCUUGAUGAAACGGGAUGCAAAGGGAAGCGAGAGCUUCAGGGACGCCGGCGUGAUGAAACGGGGGGACAAUAAGUGGGAGGAAAAGGGAAAUAUCAGAGUGAGAGUACGUGUCCUUGUGAGCAUCGGAAGCCUGUGUGUGACUCAAAUGAGGCGGAUUAUAUACAGCUGCUGCUCCCUGGGGAUGCGGAUUUUGUUGGAGGAUCAGGUGAAGCACUGACAGGUGUGUGUGUGUGUGUGUGUGUGUGUGUGUGUGUGUGUGUGUCUACUCGGCAGCACACGGAUGGUAAUCCCAGCUGCUGUGUUCAAUGUUACCGUAUUAUUUUAUUUAAAUACUACAGCGAAGACUGAAGUAAAAAAGGCUCACUUCACCCCAAUUAUGAAAACAGCUUUGGUGCUUUAACUGUCAAAAAUAACAGUACUGUAAAAAUGUAAAAUCAACUGAGGGAUCAUCUCAGUUUAUCUCAGACACCCUCCCUCUCUAGUCAUUCAUCAGGCUCUCUCCUCCUCUCCUCCUCUCACCUUUUAGUGUCUCAUUAAUAAUUCUUCCUCUCCCUCCCACAGCGCUCAUCGCCGCCGCGGCUGCGACACCCACGCCACUGCGAUCAAUCCCAAUUAAAACUUCAGGUCGACUGGAAAUGGAAAGAGUCGGAAGCCAAACGAACGGAUAAUGUCUUUGAGGAGUCCAGUCGUCUUUCCGACUGGCUGCAGCUCGGAGCCGCGGAGCCGCCUGAUGGAGGCGGCACGGCGACCUCCGUGCCUUUAGUAACCCCGUCAUUUCUGUCAUUUGUCCGUCAUCGAUGUGACCCCCAGGAGGAGGCUCCUGCUCUGUUGAAUCGGAUGUACAGACAUUGUGAUGUGUACCAAUCUCCUCUGAUUUCUUUCCCUCAGUUUGUGAUUUUUGACCAAAAGAAGGUUUUGGGACGGACACCGAUGUCCUACCUGUGACCAGGACAGAAUCUCUCUGUCUCUGACAUCCGUUAUGCACAAAGAGCACAAGACAGACUUGGAUCCAGUGCAGCUUCACCUGUUCUGGGGGGGAAGCAGGAAAUCACCAACCUAAAGGCAGUUUGUUGAGGAAGCCGCUGGAGUUGCAGAGACAAGACCCAGCAGCUUUAGAGGCGGUUCCAAGUUGGACCAUCGUCUCCGUCCUCCCCGUCCGCCUGCAGGGCCCUCGGCCCUCUGGAGCGCCGUCUCUCCGAAGCUGAAGAGGUGCGGCAGUCUUCCUCUCCCACCUGUUUCUCUCUGCCUCUCUUAUGUAAUUAAGGCUGCUUAUGUGGUUACAAUGAAACGACUCCCCGAGCUCCCAAAACAGCGAGGAGGUGUUAAUGGAGGAAACGCACACGAGCUGCCCGCCGAGGAGCUGCAGAGAACUGUUGUCCGGGCCAGAACACUUUGU
ensembl:lncRNA